CGUGCCGCACGCCUGCCCUCUCUGCGCGUGCUGGGGAAGAGCUUCAAGCAUAAGGACGCUAUGACAUCCUACAAGUCUUUUUUGUUUCCCCCCUCACCUCUCACCCUAAGGACAAAACUCUCCAGGCUGAGUGUGGUUUCUCUGGGUAACGUCAUCCUUACUUGUUCAUCUGUCUGAAGCAAUUACUGUGGCUUCCUUAGGGAUUAUUUUUCAGACAAAGUGUUGACAUUUUCCCCCAGUUGGGCGUCAAGUGCGUAUCUGAGGUGGUAAUUUCUGAGCGUAGAAGUCUAAUGAGAGGAAUGCCCUGCGGUUAAUGAGGUGUUGGAAGGCAGCACAGCUAAAUCCAGUAUUGCAUUUUCCAACUUUCCAGUUUAAUUAGAAACCCGGAUCUCCUGUUCAUGCACUCACUCAUUUCUUUGGUUGAGUGACAGCCCAGCAUUUCACGGGGAAAAUUAUCACAAUAUUUAAGCAAGCUGUUGAUGUUGCUUGCUGUCCACAUCGCUCCAUCUUGUUCCAGCUUGAAUCUUUGUGUCUGCCAUUGCAAACAUCGUCUGCAGCAUUUCCCAAGCGCUGGCAGUGCCUGGGGCAGGGCAGGUGGCCGGGCCCUUCUCUUGUCCCUGCUCCUCCUGCGGCUCAUCGGCCUAAAGCCGGGAUUUUGGCAGAUAUUGGGUCAUUGCUGGGUACUGCUAAGCACCGCUUUAAAUGUCUGGCUUCCUGUCUCUUAUCCCCUGACAUUAAGGAAUAGCAAGUUUGUAGGGGCAGUGAGAGGAGAGACCGCAGGGCUCAGCCUGGUGGGGAGCUGUGGCACUGUCCCCAAAGUGGCACUGCUGCAGGACCCACAGUGCCACCAGGAUUCAGAAGGGUGCCUUUCACCUCCCUGCCCAGGUAAUUAAGAACCUGUGCGGGUUUGUGGUGGUGGCACAGCUGGGAAAUUGUUAGUUGUUAGCCUUUGGUGAUGGGGUUGGGUGCACCUGCUAUGAGUUAGGGUGCAUGUGCUGGGAUGUAUAAAAUAAGGGAGCAACAUAGCCCCAGGUAUUUGCCAGUGUAGGGGUGGCCACCUUGCCUUCCUGUGGCACCAGAAUAUUGAUAAAACCCCAAGUUAUGUUACUGUCCCAUUGAAUUUUUUUGGGGGUGGGAGGGAAAGGUGCUUGUGCUGAGUAGAAUUUUACAAGUAUUAUUUUCUUCUUCCUUUUAAUUAAAAUGUUUUCAUUGCUGCAUACAGCAAAAACAUGCAUUUUUGGCUGUUGGGGAUUUUAAGUGAAAGCUGCAAAGUGCUACCUGUAGUCCUUCAAGCUUUCAGUGUGCAGCUGACCUUCCCUGUGGGCAUCUGCGUGGAGGCUUUGCUGCCUGAAUGUGACCCUCCAGGGAGAGCAGGAAUCCCCAGACCGACGAACCAGUUCUUAUCGGCGUGCUUCUUGGAGACGUAGGUGUUGUAAUGGUUCUCCUCGAGCCGCUCCAGGAACAGGCACUCCUCGCCCAGUAGCUGCUGGAAGAGAGCCGCGCGUGGCAGCAGUGAGCCCCUGCCCCGUCUCUGUGCCCUGCCAAGGUGAUGGGAAGCGUGCAGAGCUACGAGAUUUCUGCAGACCUCAAAACCUCUCGGUGCCCGGUCCCACAGGAGCCUCGUGCUUACCGAGCCGUACAAGAGCCCGUUGGUGUCCAUUGCCAGGGAGCCUUGGAGAAGCGUGCAUGUCCCAGAGCUGUGCAGCCCCGAGGGAACGGCCUGUCAGAAGCUGAGCAUUUCAGAGCCGUGUGUGAUUGCUGCACUUCUCCGGGCUGGGACCUGCAGCACAACAUCUCAGCAGAGCCGUGGCACCCGUGGGGAGACAGGAAAACAAAGUGAGGAUCUGCUUUCUAAUUACCUUCCAGCCUCUCCUGCCUCCCCACCCACACCCUUCUGCAAUCUGGUGAUUAACUUAAUUACAGCCCCAGCUCCUGAAGCCGGUCCAGCCGGGGAGCAGGAGCCCUGCCAGGAGGGUCUCGCUCCCCGUGGCCAGGCUGGGCUUGGACCAAGCACAUGGACACAUCCAUGAGCAGCGCUGGCUGCAGAUGCAGCUCCCAUGGCCUCGUGUGCGGGAUUUAAUCACCAAGCUCGCUGCUCGCCAGAUGUGUGGGACCUGUGAUGGAAAGAACACCCUGGGCAGAGCACAAGAGCUCAGUUUCUCCAGUGAAGGAGGGGGUGGGAGAUGCGUAGCAAGGGGGCACCUUUCACCUCUGGGCUUUGCAGCCGGAGGCGAUGCAGCUGCCUGGGGGCUGGGGGCGGUUGCUGCUCCUUCCUGCGCCGUGCUCCCUCCCCAGCAGGGGAUCUGCUCCUGUCCGUGCUUUAAGGUGCUGUUUACAGCAUUUAUUAUAAAUUAUAGAAGGUAAUUAGUGCUGUGUGGAUAUUGAGGGUUUCCCCUUCCCUCUAGCAGAGGGCACGUGCUGCCUUAUCCAGGUCCCCCCACAGGCUGGCACUGGCACCCACCCUCCUGCUCCUUUGCUUUCCUGCAGCGCUGCUCACACCGACCGAGAGGCACCCGCAGGUGGGACCGACUGCUAAACCACACCACGAGUCACCCGGCCUUGAUUUGGGUGCCCGAGGACGAAGGCUCCGUGCUGCUGGGGCUGCUGAUGCCCUGGGGAUGGCGAUGGGGGGAGUGGGUGCCCCUGUGCGCCCUGCUGGGGACCCGCUCCCCCAGCCCCGGCGGGCAGGGAGGUUAAGCUGGGUGACGCUUGCCGGGCUCACAAAUGUCACCACCCGCCCCCGGUGUCCAGGCAGGACGCUGGGCAAAAUGUCAGACCACAGAGCCGGGAGCUGUCUGGGCCCAGGUGUGGCUGCCCCGCGGCCGCUGGCUCCGGCCCCAGGCGCCCACAGGCGGACUGGAUGGACAGACGGACGGACGGCAGCCAGCCACCGCCGCACCUGGCCCCGGGGCAGGCUUCUCGCGGCGUCUGGUUGUGCUCUGGUUGGGGCACUUUUACCCAGCUUUUCCCUGCCUCCCUCUGGGAGUGAGUAGAUGCGGAGAGGAAAAGCGUGGCUGCCUGCAGCUGGGAGCCGGGCUGCUUUGCAGAGCAGCUCUGCCCAGAAAAACCAUCAGCCGACCCCAAAUGACAGAUUCUAGACCCAAAAUUUUACUCUACGCUGUGCUCUUACGCCACGGGGCUGAUGUGGUUCUCCUGCUGGGCUAAGUCCCCGCUGACCCUGUGCUCCCUGCCAACGGCCCCGUUCCAGGCUGGUGCCUUGUCACUGCCCCUCUCCUUCGCCCUGCUAUCAGCUGCGGGCCUGUGCCAAGCUCUCAUCGCUGAGAUGGGUCCAAAACGUCAGGGUGCUGUUGCUAAUAAGGCACAAGGCUUGAAUUAGGAGCAAAAAGCAGCAAUUUGCAUGUGUUGUCAGAUGUAACACUUCCUUCAGCUGGCCCUCUGAAGAAUAGCCAGGCUUAAUCAAGGGUUGGCUCAGGCUUCAAAAACUGGGAUUGGAGUUUGGGUUCGGGCUUUAUACCGUGUCCUUCCCCCUAGACGAGGAGAAUGCUGGAAGUGAGGGUUUCAUCUCCAGGCCAAGUGAAACCUCACAGCCAUACUCGUGGUUAACCAUCAGUAGACAUAUCAUCACUCAGAAGUCAGGCUUCCUCCAGCAGAGUCUCAGUCUCUGUUGUUCCAAGGAAAAUCGCUUGGUUUCUGGGUUCGCUAUGAGCUUAGCAGUGAUUUACUGCCCUGAAAACGCGCAGGGAGUUAAUUAUGCUCAUUCUAAAAUAUUUGUGUAAGGGCUAUAUGCUUGUCGUGUUACGGUCUGAGAAAAACUGCCCAGGAGGAUUCUGUUCUUAAUUCUGCUGCUUGAUAUCGUCCUCGAAAUGCAGUGUCUGGUAGCUACGGGUGCCUGAGUAAACGGCCUGGGCUGUGUUUUGCCACACACACUGUUGCUCAAUAACUUAACAGCACAACAAAAGCUUGAGAUAAGAAUUACAGGGAAAAUCCACUGAUAAAUAAUAAUUUUCUUAUCUGCGUUCCUCAGGGCUGGAGAAAAUGCC